AUACGAAAGGGGCAAGCGUUGUUCGGAUUUACUGGGCGUAAAGAGAUCGUAGGUGGUUUAUCAAGUCGGAUGUGAAAUCCCGGGGCUCAACCCCGGAACUGCAUUCGAUACUGGUAGACUUGAGUUCGGGAGGGGGAUGCGGAAUUCCGCGUGUAGCAGUGAAAUGCGUAGAUAUGCGGAGGAACACCAGAGGCGAAGGCGGCAUCCUGGACCGAUACUGACACUGAGGAUCGAAAGCGUGGGUAGCAAACAGGAUUAGAAACCCGAGUAGUCC
rnacentral:rRNA from 1 species